UUUCUUGAUCAACAUACAGGUGGCACAAAGAUUGAAACAACAAGGCCACAUGGCUGAUUGACAUUGAUUACUAUUUGUUACAACAGUUUCAACAGAAAUCAAGUGAAGCUUUAAAGGAUGAUCCUACAAGCUCACUCUUGAUACCUUGCAUCUUAGGAGAUGAGAUAUAUUUGGCAAUGAAGAAAAUAAUAGGUCUUGUGUCCUCCUGAUACAUACAUAAGUAAUUAGGCUUGUUCCAUACCAUAAAUCUAUGGUUUUUAUGCUAAGAUUGAAUAGCACUUGAAAAUAGCUAGGCUUUAUCUUGCUGGUUUCAUGUUUCUAAUAUGUUAGCUUGAAAUGCCCCACAUUUUUUAUUCAUGUAUAUGUGUAACUAACUUCCGUUA